rnacentral:rRNA from 1 species
AUUGAACGCUGGCGGCAGGCCUAACACAUGCAAGUCGAGCGGCGCGGCGGCCGGGUGCGUAAUGCCUAGGAAUCUGCCUGUUAGUGGGGGAUAACGUCCGGUAACGGGCGCUAAUACCGCAUACUAUCAGAUUAGCCUAGGUCGGAUGAGCUAGUUGGUGGGGUAAAGGCCUGCCAAGGCGAAGAUCCGUAACUGGUCCGAGAGGGUGAUCAGUCACACUGGAACUGAGACACGGUCCAGACUCCUACGGGAGGCAGCAGUGGGGAAUAUUGGACAAUGGGCGAAAGCCUGAUGCAGCCAUGCAGCGUGUGUGAAGAAGGUCUUCGGAUUGUAAAGCACUUUAAGUUGGGAGGCGUUACCAACAGAAUAAGCACCGGCUAACUUCGUGCCAGCAGCCGCGGUAAUAC